UGGGGAAUAUUGCACAAUGGAGGGAACUCUGAUGCAGCGACGCCGCGUGAGUGAUGAAGGAAUUCGUUUCGUAAAACUCUGUUCUAUGGGAAGAAAAGGACUGUACCUUAGGAGAAAGCUCCGGCUAAAUACGUGCCAGCAGUCGCGGUAAUACGUAUGGAGCGAGCGUUGUCCGGAAUUAUUGGGCGUAAAGGGUGCGCAGGCGGCUUUACAAGUUGGAUGUGAAAUAUUGUGGCUCAACCACAAACGUGCAUCCAAAACUGCAGAGCUUGAGUUAAGGAGAGGUAAGUGGAAUUCCUGGUGUAGCGGUGGAAUGCGUAGAUAUCAAGAGGAAUACCGGUGGCGAAGGCGACUUACUGGACUAAAACUGACGCUCAGGCACGAAAGCGUGGGGAGCAAACAGG
rnacentral:rRNA from 1 species